rnacentral:lncRNA from 10 species
UGUGAAUAAGAUCUGCUCUGCUCUCUCUGGAACAAGGGACCAGGUUCUCAUACUGACUGAGGCUGCGGGCUGCCAUAUUCAAGACUGUCAUGAAGCCAAAGAAAGAUUUUGUUUUUAGUUUGAGGCUUAACCUCAAAGAAACAGAAUUAAUAGAAGAAGGAAAUGAUCCUGGGAGAUCCUCAAUGCAGUAAUGAAUUCAACAUUCUUCAAUCAAAUUUAAAAUUUAAUUAUAGCCUACUUACCUGUGGUGACCCUGGAUUCUGUACAACUGAUUUGUUGAUACAGAAGAGAGUCAUGCAAACUACAGAAAUCCACCCAAAACCGAGAGAAGGAGAGUAUCUGUUUUCAGAGGAGCUGUCUGCUUUGGGAGGAAGUUCCAGAAGUGAGCCUCAGGAAUUACAACAUUAAUUGAGAAACUGAAUGAUUAAAAUUGUAGUAACAAAUAGCUUUCCUUGGAACUGUCCCAGAAUCUAUUAUUUUUUUUUCCUUUUCUGUCAUUAACAAAAACACCAACAAAAAUCAUCAUGUGUGAAAGAGGUACUAUAAUAAAAACCCUAGCAGUGUCUACUGCGUGCUUCGUGCAAGGUAUCCAUGAUGGUCUUAACUCACCACAGAAGAACUUGGGGGAGUGUGGUCAAUGCCAGGGGUUCACGGGGAAAAAUGAAGUUGUCCACAGGUUGACCUCCUUUUUGCACCACUGGGAAUUACUCUUUGCAUAAGAAAAUACUGCCUAUUGGAAAUGGGAGGUGAAAUUACACAUUGGACAAAUGGGGCAGAAAUUGACCCAGAGGUUUUUAUUUUUCUGUGUUGCUCCUUGUCCCUAAAUACACUGAAAAUUCUUGACAUUCAUACAGUAUUUUCUCUUUCAUCCAAGCACCCAGUUCACUGGUGAUGCACAGGAAAGAAUUGUUGAUGUUCUUUGGGCUUGUGUGGGAACUAAGGUGAUAGAUACUUGUAUUUAAUGAAUGAUGAGUCUGUGGCAAAUGCCUUGGAAAGUGCUACAUAUACAUCACCUAUUUAAUCCUCAGAACCAUUCUCUGGGGUCAAAAUUAUUGGUCCCAAUUUACAGCUGGGAAUGUCG